rnacentral:rRNA from 1 species
UCCAAAAGGUAGCUUCGGCCUCCGCCUUUGGAUGGGCCCGCGGCGCAUUAGCUUGUUGUGGGGUAACGGCCUACCAAGGCGACGAUGCGUAGCUGGUCUGAGAGGACGAUCAGCCACACUGGGACUGAGACACGGCCCAGACUCCUACGGGAGGCAGCAGUAGGGAAUCUUGCGCAAUGGGCGAAAGCCUGACGCAGCAACGCCGCGUGAGGGAAGAAGGCUUUCGGGUUGUAAACCUCUUUCAGGUGGGACGAAGCUUCCAGGGUUAAUAGCCCCAUGGGGUGACGGUACCUCCAGAAGAAGCCCCGGCUAACUACGUGCCAGCAGCCGCGGUAAUACGUAGGGGGCAAGCGUUGUCCGGAAUCAUUGGGCGUAAAGCGCGUGUAGGCGGCUUGAUAAGUCCGGUGUGAAACCGUUGGGGCUCAACCCCAAGCCUGCACCGGAUACUGUCUCGCUUGAGUUCGGGAGGGGAGAGCGGAAUUCCUAGUGUAGCGGUGAAAUGCGCAGAUAUUAGGAAGAACACCAAUGGCGAAGGC